rnacentral:lncRNA from 1 species
UCCUUCUGAGAUUCUGAGAGCCAGACUUCUUUCUUUAUUUGGAGCAUCCAUCUUCAUAGUUUGCCUUCUCAAUUCGUAAGUAGUCAAGUUUCCAAUCAGUUCAUCCAAUUUCAGAGUAGAAAUAUUUUUGGAUUCCUGAAUGGCAGUGAUUUUACUUUCCCAAGAGAUUGGCAAAACUCUAGUUAGAAUCUUCUCUACCUUGUAUUCUUCUAGAAUGACCCUUCCAAGAAACUCAAGUUCAUUUGUCAAUGUAGUGAACCUAAUGUACAUCUCUUGGAUAGUUUCA